CCUCCCCCUAUACCUCUAGCCAAUGUAGAAAAGUAAAAGAAUAACAAUACGCACAUUAAAAUUCAGUUCAAGAGAAGUCCGAGUCUGAUGUCAAAAGAUGUAACAAAAGAAAAUAAAUAAAAUGACAAUAAUACACAAAUAACAACAGACUACUAGCAGUUAACUGACAUGCCAGCUCCAGACCUCAAUUAAACUGAUUGAAAGAUUAUGUCUUCAUCAUAUGAAUAUCAGGUACAAUCCCUCCCGUUAGGGGUUUAGUAUCAUACUAUCAUAAAAUAUAUGAGAAGAACAUAACCCGUGUCAUGCCAACAACUGUUUUUUUUUAGAAAUAAAUGUGUUUAGUUCCGAUGCAAAGACCCUAUCAGUGAAUCAAUGUUAAAGCCAAAAUAUGCAAUCUUUAAUGACCUGACAACAGUAUCGUAACUAUAUCCCC
rnacentral:lncRNA from 1 species